UCCGUAGGUGAACCUGCGGAGGGAUCAUUACUGAGUUUACGCUCUACAACCCUUUGUGAACAUACCUAUAACUGUUGCUUCGGCGGGUAGGGUCCCCGUGACCCUCCCGGCCUCCCGCCCCCCCGGGCGGGUCGGCGCCCGCCGGAGGAUAACCAAACUCUGAUUUAACGACGUUUCUUCUGAGUGGUACAAGCAAAUAAUCAAAACUUUUAACAACGGAUCUCUUGGUUCUGGCAUCGAUGAAGAACGCAGCGAAAUGCGAUAAGUAAUGUGAAUUGCAGAAUUCAGUGAAUCAUCGAAUCUUUGAACGCACAUUGCGCCCGCCAGCAUUCUGGCGGGCAUGCCUGUUCGAGCGUCAUUUCAACCCUCAAGCUCUGCUUGGUGUUGGGGCCCUACAGCCGAUGUAGGCCCUCAAAGGUAGUGGCGGACCCUCCCGGAGCCUCCUUUGCGUAGUAACUUUACGUCUCGCACUGGAUCCGGAGGGACUCUUGCCGUAAAACCCCCCAAUUUCCAAAGGUGACCUCGGAUCAG
rnacentral:rRNA from 1 species